UCCACAUACCUAAUUAAAUUUAAUUAGACGACCAUGUAAGUAAUUGCUUAUUACUAAAACACUGACUGCCAGUCUUCGUCGGACAUUUAUUAAAUUAAAUAAAACACCUUCCAACACUAAGUCUAGACCACACAAGCGGAAAUUCCACAAUCUACCACUGGAUCGGAAUCGCGACCCACUGAGAAGUUCCGGCGAUUUAUAUGUAUGAUUUUUAUUAUGAUUGAGUUUUUACUGGUGGCCCGGAGGCUUUUCCAGUUUCACACAGACAGGUGAGCGAGCAAGGGCUCAGCCAGAAGGGGCGGGAUUUGCUAACAGCUACCCGAGCGCCUCCCAGGGAGACCUAACAACUCAAGAGUAGCUGCCUCGCGAAUGAAUCUACUGCCGGAUCGGGAUCGCGACUCGCUGAGAAGAUUCGGCGAGAAAUUCAACGGGCUGAUGCUUAGGCUAGGUACGUUUCUUAAGUACAAAGACCUCCUCAAGCAAAUUCCGGAGAGAUUCGUCAGCGGCAGGAUGCUGUUGUCCAUUAGCGACGAUGAUGACCCAGCAUCAGAUGAGUCUUACUCAUGAGCCUUCGAAGGCAAUACCGAAGCACUUAAUUAUGUGUUCACAGGUAUUUAAUGUGAUAUAGGUAAGUCUAAUCCAAGUUUUAAUAAUUUGAUUAUUUUGAUUACGGCCGAGAUGCUAUUUAAAUUUAUAGAUUUCAGCUGUUAUAAGGAUCGGAUAGCCAUUUAUCAAAUGACUCUUCAGGCCCAUCUCUAAAGCUUGGUGGAGACAUUUUCAUGUCUAUGGACCAGGGUGUCUCCACUUGGAAGGGGGUCAAGAAUUCGUUCACUAGUCCAAAAGAAGAACAGUACAACCACCAUAUAUAAUUACGUAAUACUCUCAUUUAUUGGUAGUCCCAAUUGGAGCUUAUACGACUUUUAAGUUCGCAUAAGGAUAGCAAAGUUCUAGAUAAAUCGGUUCAACUGUAUAGUGUUUUAAUGUAAGUAAAUGGAUGUGACGAAUCGUUCAGA